rnacentral:rRNA from 1 species
UCGGAUUGAAGGCUGAAAUUCGCCUUCAUGAAGCCGGAAUUGCUAGUAAUGGCAGGUCAGCAUACUGCCGUGAAUACGUUCCCGGGCCUUGUACACACCGCCCGUCACACCAUGAGAGUUGGGAAUACCCGAAGCCUGUGAGCUAACUUUUAGAGGCAGCAGUCGAAGGUAGAAUCAAUGAUUGGGGGUGAAGUCGUAACAAGGUAUC